rnacentral:rRNA from 1 species
GGGAGGCAGCAGUGAGGAAUAUUGGACAAUGGGCGCAAGCCUGAUCCAGCCAUGCCGCGUGCAGGAUGACGGUCCUAUGGAUUGUAAACUGCUUUUGUACGAGAAGAAACACUGCUACGUGUAGCAGCUUGACGGUAUCGUAAGAAUAAGGAUCGGCUAACUCCGUGCCAGCAGCCGCGGUAAUACGGAGGAUCCAAGCGUUAUCCGGAAUCAUUGGGUUUAAAGGGUCCGUAGGCGGUCUAGUAAGUCAGUGGUGAAAGCCCAUCGCUCAACGGUGGAACGGCCAUUGAUACCGCUAGACUUGAAUUAUUAGGAAGUAGCUAGAAUAUGUAGUGUAGCGGUGAAAUGCUUAGAGAUUACAUGGAAUACCAAUUGCGAAGGCAGGUUACUACUAAUGGAUUGACGCUGAUGGACGAAAGCGUGGGUAGCGAACAGGAUUAGAUACCCUAGUAGUCCG